AAUAAUAACAAAGUCAUAAUAUAACACAAUUAUAAAAAAUGAAUAAAAUAGUUAAUAAAAGGGUUAAAUUGAACUAAAAAAAAAGAAAAAAAAAGCCAAAUUCGAAGUAAAUUUGAGAACAGGACCACAUUGAAUGCGCGCACAAGGGUGGAGGACCAAAAAAGAAAUUAUCCCCUCCUUCUAAAAUGCUGCGCAUUGACACUGGCUAAAAUGAACAGAAAUAGAAACAUUUGGGCUAAAUUUAAAAAAACAAAAAUUGGUUUAAUAAAAGAGGGCGCAAAAGAGGGAGGACUAGCCGCGCAAUUUCCCCACUUAGGGUAGAAAUGCACAGACCCAACACCCGCCAUACGGCGCCGUUUCAUCUCAAAUAUAAAAUCAACAUUUUCUUAAAAAAACCCAUUCUCUGUCAUUUUACAGCAAAACAAAGAAACCUUGUAAACCCUAGCCUCUGCUAGGGCUUCAACUCAGCCGCCACCGUCGCCGUCCUCGGCCAAUCGGCCUCCGUCGACGCCCCGAUCUCAGAUCGAGACAGAGAGGGGCACCAACUCGGUGAUUCCGACGAAAAGGGUAGGUUUUCUCUUCCUUUCUUUAUAUUUUAAGCAAAAAUAAAUAAAUAAUGGCGAAACUAAAAAAAAACCAAAUAUAUAUAUGUACAAAUGAAAAAAAAUGAAAGAACGAUAAUCGAAAAAAUGGUAAAACAGAAAAGAAAACCUUUUUAUUUCAAAAAAGAAAAUUUCCUCUUUGCCUCUGUAUUUCUCGUAUUUUACACAGAAAUCCCCCCCAAAUACAGAUUAAAAUCGGCUUUUAAAUAGCCGAGAAAAGGAAAAGAAAAAAAAUCAAAAGAAAUCCCCUCUGUUUUUGUUAGCAAGAUUUUUGCCGUUCUGUUUGUGUUUGUUGCUGUGGGUUCAACGUGCAAGGAAGGCGCGAGAUUCGUGGCGGCGAGGGGCACGAUGUGCGAUAUCGACGGGCAUGACGCGCGGAAGCAGUUGCUGCGCUAGUUACUGCGGCGCUGAGGCAGAAGCUAGGGUUUCUGCUAUUCUAUUUUUUUUGUGGGCUAGGGUUAGUUUGGGUGUUUAAGGUUAUUGGACUAGGUUUAGCUUAUUUUUUGUUUUGUAAGGGCCCGGGUAAAUUGGGCUUAUUACAAGGGGCAACAGAGGGGAUUUGGGAUUUAUUUUAUUUUUUCUUUUCUUUUCAUUUUUCUGUAAUUUUGGCUAUAAAGAAGCCAAUACAAACACUGUAAAGGAUACGCAGAUUGAAAUACAAAAGACAGAGAAAUCAAAGAGGGAUUUUUUCUAAGGUGGUUCUUUUCCGUUUUUCUUUCUGUAUUCUCUUCUUACUUUUUUCUUUUUUGGGUCACAUACAUAUAGAGAUAAUAAAAAGAGGCUUAAGGAGGAGAGUUUACCUUCAUAGUGCGACGGUCGGAUCCCUAUCUCUCUCGUCGCAAUCGGAGCAGAUGGGGAUCUGAAGGGUGGAGCUGCGACAGAAACUGAAAAACCAAGCGGCGCUCUGCCUUCCUCCUACCAUUUCAAAUGAAAACCUUUAGAUUUAGGGUUUCUUUUUUAAGUUUUUAAACGUUUUCAAAAACGGCAGCGUUUGGUGCCUAGACCCGAUGACCCGACCCGAUUCAAGAAGGAGGAUCCGCGUGCUUUAUACUGAUGGUUUAUUUGCGCAAUGAGUCCUCCUGUUCUCUCAAUUUGUUUUGAUCUAAUCCCUUUCAGUUCUUUUAAUUUUGGCCAUAUAGGUUUAUUUUGUUUUCA
rnacentral:lncRNA from 1 species